rnacentral:rRNA from 1 species
CCUCAAGUCAAGUAAGAAUACCCGCUGAACUUAAGCAUAUCAAUAAGCGGAGGAAAAGAAACUAACAAGGAUUCCCUUAGUAACGGCGAGUGAACUGGGAAGAGCUCAAAUUUAAAAUCAUCAGGGUUUCCUUGAUGAGUUGUAAUUUGAAGAAAGUGUUUUGAUGUUCGGGUUUUAUCUAAAUCCUUUGGGAUAAGGUAUCAUAGAGGGUGAGAAUCCCGUUCGUGAUUAAACCUCGGAUGUCACUUAAUUCAUUUUCUAAGAGUCGAGUUGUUUGGGAUUGCAGCUCAAAUGGGUGGUAAAUUUCACCUAAGGCUAAAUAUAUGCGAGAGACCGAUAGCGAACAAGUACCGUGAGGGAAAGAUGAAAAGAACUUUGAAAGGAGAGUUAAAUAGUACGUGAAAUUGUUGAAAGGGAAACGAUUGAAGUCAGUCAUGCUAGUGAGGAAUCAACUCGGUGGUUUUCUUCCGGGUGUACUUUCUCGCCUGGCAGGUUAGCAUCAAUUUCGUUCAUCAUUAAAUGAUCGGGGUAAUGUGGCUUCUCUUCGGAGUAGUGUUAUAGACCUUGGUAGAUGUGAUGAUCGGGAUUGAGGAUUGCAGCGAAUGCUAUUUGGCUAGUCCCCUGAUUUCUGAUGGUCACCUCGCUUUCGACAGCUUGCUGACGUGGGUGGGUUCUGAUUGUCUAGAUGUUAGAGUGAUCAUAUAUUCGCUAAGGAUGCUGACGUAAUGGCUUUAAACGACCCGUCUUGAAACACGGACCAAGGAGUCUAACAUGUGUGCGAGUGUU